CAACGUUUCAGUAAAAAAUUCACCGCACAAAAUCGAAUAUUGCAGAUAUAUCAUCAUCAUCAUCAUUGAACAAUGUUUAUAUUGGUGUCACAUCGAUCUUAUGGAAUUCACAAGACCACGGCACAGGGAGAGAGCAUAAUAAAUCCCUUGUAAACCCGAAAUGACGUCUAAUAUACUCUGCGGCAAAAUGCCAGCUGACCAACUGGUUUCACAUUCAAUGGAUUCUUCAAGCGCUUUCUCUUACAAUCAUAAUUCAUAUUCUUAUGCAGUUUGCUGGACAUGCCUACUUCAAGGAUUAUACAUGUUGUUUAGGUCACAGGAACGUCUGCGCACAUCGACUCAUUACUUGAUAUAAAGUAAAAGCGGAACUAUUCCGCUUUACAGAAGCAGGAACUGAAAUUUUGACAACUUCAGCUAAUGUAUCUCUGGAAGUAUGUAUAUGAGAAGAUAAACUAGAGGUGCCUUUGAAAAUAUAAAGUAUAAGUAGUGGUAACAAAACAAGAGAAAAUCUAUGGUGCAUUGAUAUUACUACGUGGAGAAAUAUUUUGUUCCCGUUAAGUGGCCAACAUAUGAUUUGAAGAUACACUGUCAUAUUGUGCUGAAUUCGGUCAUCACAUAGUUAUAACGUAAAUACAAAGGAGUUGAAAACAUGUAGCCCGUUUGAAAUGGUAAGUUUUAAAAGGAACUCAAAUGGAAAACAGAACACUCCAUGAACUGUUUGUUGAAAUAGUAUGGCAAAGCUUUCAAUAUUGAUGGAACAAAAGAAAUAUGCAGAGAAUGCAAGUAAAAAAUAUUAGGUUAAGAAUGCUUGCAAGUUUAUAGUUAAUACAAUAGCUUCUCCAAUUUAUUUUAAUUAAAGAUAUGCCGUAAAUGCGCGUUUGCUUGCAUAUAAAUAUGUUCUGUUUAUAUAUAAAAUAUGUAUAUAUUUGUGUACUGAGAAAUCAUUACUA